rnacentral:rRNA from 1 species
AGUGAACGCUGGCGGUAGGCCUAACACAUGCAAGUCGAACGGCAGCACAGUAAGAGCUUGCUCUUACGGGUGGCGAGUGGCGGACGGGUGAGGAAUACAUCGGAAUCUACUUUUUUGUGGGGGAUAACGUAGCGAAACUUACGCUAAUACCGCAUACGACCUACGGGUGAAAGCAGGGGAUCUUCGGACCUUGCGCGAUUGAAUGAGCCGAUGUCGGAUUAGCUAGUUGGCGGGGUAAAGGCCCACCAAGGCGACGAUCCGUAGCUGGUCUGAGAGGAUGAUCAGCCACACUGGAACUGAGACACGGUCCAGACUCCUACGGGAGGCAGCAGUGGGGAAUAUUGGACAAUGGGCGCAAGCCUGAUCCAGCCAUACCGCGUGGGUGAAGAAGGCCUUCGGGUUGUAAAGCCCUUUUGUUGGGAAAGAAAAGCAGCAGGUUAAUACCCCGCUGUUCUGACGGUACCCAAAGAAUAAGCACCGGCUAACUUCGUG